CAAUGUAUAACGAGUUUUAUUUAGUAUAACCUUUCAUUUAGUAUAACAUUUUAUUUAGUAUGAUAAGCAUGAUAUCAAGAAUUAUUAUGCCCCUGUCUAAUCCCCCAAUCAGUAUUUAAUUAAUAAUUUUUAAAAAGUUGUUUAUUAAUUUCCAUUCUUCACUGCUUAUCGCGUUUUUCGUAAGUGAUCUGAAAAAAUAAAAAAUACGAUUAAUUUUGAAAAAUAUUUACACGUUUGAGCAACUUUG